rnacentral:rRNA from 1 species
GGCGAACGGGUGAGUAACACGUGGGCAAUCUGCCCUUCACUCUGGGACAAGCCCUGGAAACGGGGUCUAAUACCGGAUAACACUUCCACUCUCCUGGGUGGAGGUUAAAAGCUCCGGCGGUGAAGGAUGAGCCCGCGGCCUAUCAGCUUGUUGGUGAGGUAAUGGCUCACCAAGGCGACGACGGGUAGCCGGCCUGAGAGGGCGACCGGCCACACUGGGACUGAGACACGGCCCAGACUCCUACGGGAGGCAGCAGUGGGGAAUAUUGCACAAUGGGCGAAAGCCUGAUGCAGCGACGCCGCGUGAGGGAUGACGGCCUUCGGGUUGUAAACCUCUUUCAGCAGGGAAGAAGCGAAAGUGACGGUACCUGCAGAAGAAGCGCCGGCUAACUACGUGCCAGCAGCCGCGGUAAUACGUAGGGCGCAAGCGUUGUCCGAAUUAUUGGGCGUAAAAGCUCGUAGGCGGCUUGUCACGUCGGGUGUGAAGCCCGGGGCUUAACC